rnacentral:lncRNA from 1 species
AGGCUAUUUUCACAAUACAGCCAACAGAAUUGGCUGAUAUUUUGGAUGGUUAGUGGUUAGUGUGAGAAUUAUGAAAGGAUUCAAGAAUGCCUCUAGUGUUUUUAGCCUGAGACGGGGAAGGAUAGUGUUGGAAUUAAGUGAGAUAGAAGAACUAAGAAUACAGCCAGUUAGGAAGAGAGAUUAGAAGUUCAUUUUUGAAAAUCUUAACAAAAUUUAACAUUUUUGAACACAUAAAGGAACAAUUUUAAAAGAACAAAGAAGUCAUUAGAAUUAUCUAUUUGAUAAUUUAUAAACCUUAGGUGAAUAAGUAAAUAUUUAACCAUAAUAUUUCUUCGACUUAAGAAACCACUUAGCUUGGUAAUACUUUCAUAAGAAGAGUAGUAAUUUCAUUUGAAGAUAGAAAGCUGAGUUUAUUAAAGCUUCUGAAGAUGCUUUAUUGUUUUUCUCCUACAAAUAUUAAAGUUUAAUCCCACAUACAAUAAGUUAUGUUGAAGAUGGAUAAAUAAGUUAUGUAUUACUCCUCAAGCUAACAUGUAUUACUAGACCUUUUUCUUAGCACAAGUCAUUUUGUAAUGUAGCUAUGGCAAGAUUACUGCAGCUUAAAUUAUGUAACUUGAAAGUUACCUAAAAAUUACUAAUUUAGUUAAAGCAGAACUAUGUUUGUGAAAGAGAAAGACAGGAAAAUUAAUUAUUUUCAUUUGUCUUAGUUUCUCAUAACAUAUGACGAAGUUAGAGAAAUGUUCUAGUAAGGGGUCACUCUUUCCUUACCCAGGAAAAUGCUAUUAUUAAUUUAGCUAUCAUGGAAUGUACAAAUUAAUGCAAAAUGUCAUUGCCAGAAACACCUGUACACUGUAAUUGCUUCUGUAUUAUUUAUAAACUACACAGUAAAAAAUGAAGAAGUAAACUGGAAACCAUAAAACUAUUGUGUGUAAUAGAAGACUAGCAGACAGAAUUAUUUGAUAUGAGAGACAUUUAUUCAUUCAACGAAUACUGAUGAGUGCCUAUUAUUUGCCAGGUAACAUUAUAGAUAAAUGAAAUUAAGGGAUACAAAACAGUUCUACUGAUAAAAUAACAUGGAGAAACAAUUAUUUUAUCUCAUGUUUUUGUUGUAUCAGUAGCAGCUAUAAAUCAUUAGUUGAGUCAGAUUUCUCCAAUAAUUAAACAACUUAAUGGAACAAGUUCAGAAAGCAAAUUCACCAUCUUGAUGUCUUAAACCUUUCUUAGAAUAAGAGAGUUGAAAAAUAACUCAAAGUUUCUUUGGGGAUUAGACUUUGGUCCAUUAAAAUUAACACUAAAACCCAAUGCAAUUCCAAUGUAAUUGGCACAAUCACAAACAUUUCCUAAACAGGCCUUCAGGGAACUGAAUGAUUCCUGAUGUGUUAUACCUGGUGUAUUCUUUUUAACGUCUUUAGGAGAUUCUGAUUAAAAAUCAGUUGCAAUAGUCAGGUUAUUAUUAACACAUAAAGAUAAUCAAAGCUCUGUUUACUGAAUUUCAGCUUCACAUAGACAGUUGGAAGGAUAUCUGGCAAGUAUAAACAUCUGGGCUUCAAUGCUGUACUCUUGUACUUUUUUCUGUGACUGUUUUUGAUCAAACAAUUACUGUUGAUUAAAGAGGCAAAUCCAAAACUCAACCUUUGAAAAGUGCGUUUAUUCUAUCUUAAGCUAUUCUUCCUAGCAAACUUUUAUUUUCAUUUAAAAAUUUCAUAAGCAAAAGAAUAUUUUCCACACCUUUCUCCAAACUUCUUUUUAAAAUCUUAGCAGAUUCUUCACAAAAAGAAUAGUACUUUAUCUCUAUCUUAGCCUCACAUCUAACUUUAUAAUACUUAGGACUCUAUACUGAAACAUUUGUUUACGCUAUUCUACAAAGCCAGUUUCUUAUUUUUUUCUCUAGAUCUCACUUAAUCCCCAUAUCUUAGGUUUUGACCAUCCCCUUUCCAGAGUUUUCCAGCAUGAUCUCCCUAUUGGGCAAUUCUCUUCUGCCUUUCCAUGUGCAUGGGUAUCCUUAGUAUUUCUCUUUCUCGCCAAUUUGCCUUUGAAAUACAUGAUGUGACUGCCAUUUUCAUUUCUUUACUAUCCAAUCUUCCUGUCUCUUUCCGUUUAACAUUGAUCAAUUACUAAAGAGAGAAACCAAGUUUUGUCGUUCUGUUUUAUCAAAUUCUUGAAUACUGUUCUCAACUUUUAUUCAGAUGGUACAUAUGAUGGAGAUUGUGAGUAUAGGAGGAAAGCCUUCAUGUGGAUGAAACCCUGACGAUAAGGAUGGGGUUAACAUUAGAUGUAGAAUUAGAAAACUCAAGAUGAACUCAUAAUCUUGGCAGUAUACAUCCUACCACUUUAUGAUGGUAGAAGUGUCCCAAAAGUACCAGCACUACUACUAGUGUGCAUCCACCAGUGCACAUGCGUAUCCACUAUGCAGAUCAUGUUUUAUAUUAUUAUUCAGCCAAAACCAACUGGAAUCCUUGCAAGGUAGCUCUUUCCAUGACUUGAGUCAGGAACAGUUUUUACACGUUAAUGAAAUAGAGUGCUCAAUAGUGUAUUUCAAGAUAACACAUUAGCUCAGUGUCCUAAUGAGUGGGACUAAAGGCACAAAGGUCCUUAUCUCCCAGGACAUGCUUGGUAUUAACAAGGCAUUGGUAAUUUUUUGAAAUAAUAAUAAAUCAGGAAGGUACAUUAGGUUGACAAGGAAAUGAGUUAUGCCCAUUAAAAAUAAAACAUUUAGUGACAGAAGGAGAGAGGGAGGGGCAAGAUCACGUGAUAACCUAAGGUUUAAAUGAAAGGAUUAGGUUUAAGAGUCUUACUUAUCAAACAAGUAAUGUGUACUCUGGUGAUCCCCAACCUUUUUGGCACCAGGGGCCUGUUUUGUGGAAGAUAAUUUUUUCCACAGAUGGAGGGGAGGAUGGUUUUGGGAUGACACCGUUCCACCUCAGAUCAUCAGGCAUUACAAUCUUAUAAGGAGCACAGGACUUAGAUCCCUCACAUGCGCAGUUCACAAUAGGCUUCCUGCUCCUAUGUGAAUUGAAUGCCACCGCUGAUCUGACAGGAGGUGAAGCUCAGGCAGUAACGCUCACUCUCCCACCACUCAGCGCCUGCUGUGCAGCCCAGUUUCUAACAGGACACGGACCACUACUGGUCCAUGGCCUGAGGGUUGGGGACCAGUGCUC